CCAGCACCCCGAGUGGUCGGGACGAUUAUUGGGCCUAAAGCAUCCGUAGCCGGUUUUACAAGUCCUCCGUUAAAUCCAACUGCUUAACAGAUGGGCCGCGGAGGAUACUAUAAAACUAGGAGGCAGGAGAGGCAAGCGGUACUCAGUGGGUAGGGGUAAAAUCCGUUGAUCCAUUGAAGACCACCAGUGGCGAAGGCGGCUUGCCAGAAUGCGCUCGACGGUGAGGGAUGAAAGCUGGGGGAGCAAACCGGAUUAGAUACCCGGGUAGUCCCAGCUGUAAACGAUGCAGACUCGGUGAUGGACUAGCUUCAUGCUAGUCCAGUGCCGCAGGGAAGCCGUUAAGUCUGCCGCCUGGGUAGUACGGUCGCAAGACUG
rnacentral:rRNA from 1 species